rnacentral:rRNA from 1 species
AUUGAACGCUGGCGGCAGGCCUAACACAUGCAAGUCGAACGGUAACAGAAAGCAGCUUGCUGCUUUGCUGACGAGUGGCGGACGGGUGAGUAAUGUCUGGGAAACUGCCCGAUGGAGGGGGAUAACUACUGGAAACGGUAGCUAAUACCGCAUAACGUCGCAAGACCAAAGAGGGGGACCUUCGGGCCUCUUGCAAUCGGAUGUGCCCAGAUGGGAUUAGCUAGUAGGUGGGGUAACGGCUCACCUAGGCGACGAUCCCUAGCUGGUCUGAGAGGAUGACCAGCCACACUGGAACUGAGACACGGUCCAGACUCCUACGGGAGGCAGCAGUGGGGAAUAUUGCACAAUGGGCGCAAGCCUGAUGCAGCCAUGCCGCGUGUAUGAAGAAGGCCUUCGGGUUGUAAAGUACUUUCAGCGGGGAGGAAGGGAGUAAAGUUAAUACCUUUGCUC